GGUGGGUAUAGCUCAGUGGUAGAGCACAUGCCUAGCAUGCAUGAGGUCCUGGGUUCAAUCCCCAGUACCUUCA
rnacentral:tRNA from 1 species